GAGCCAUUUUAUUCCGCAAAUGAAAACUUCGAUCUCCUAAAAAAGACACAAGACAUUCUCCUCCACAUCAAUUGCAGUGUGUCGUUGAACCGAAUGAUAAACGUCUUCAUACAGCAAGGCGAAGGAAUUGGAUCGGUCUCCAUGGCUUAGUGUGCUGUAGCAGCUGGACCCAGACAGAAGUCCCCUCCUUUCCUCCUUCACUUCUUCUAGCAGUGAGAUCACGUGACAUCACCGUGGGACGGUAACCGCCCC